UUGAAAUUCACUUGCCAAUUAGAUAAGUUUGAACGACUCGGCUUCCUCAUAAAGUCAUAAUCUCCCUUUUUCUUCGUAAACAAAACCCCUCAUCACCUUCCUCUCAUCAAAUAAUUUCGCUCGGAUUGAAGAUGCGAAUGGAGUUUCAUUCAUCACCGCAACGAGCCCAUCGACCGGAAUUUUCGAAGGGAUAUCAAGAGUGUUCUUCAGUUCAACCCUAGGCAUAAGAGCAUUGAAAACUUGGAGUUAGAAAGACAAAUAUGUUUAAUGUAGAACUAUCCGCGCAUCUCUGUUGUAAAAACAAGCACACCGAAGCUUUGAAGAUGUGUGACGGUGGCAGGGUCAUGCAUGUGUAGAAGAGGAGGCCAUACAAAGAGUCGUUGAUGCUGCGUUACAAUAUGAACAAAUAAUCGGAAUUGUCAACUUAACACAUUGAUCUUCCAAGGCUUACAAAAGUUGUUGUUGGUAAGCUACAUUGACUGCAUCUUAUUGACCAAUAGAGCAGAGAGUUUAGGCCUAUUUCUUUAACAAUUGAUCAUGAGGUAUUACACUUUAUUAUCUACCAUUGGUUGUUUCCCAUGACACAAAGCGUUAUUUUCAGUCUUUUAUUGUAAAGGUAAUAGGGAUUCUUUACUUUCCCCCUGCCUUGGGACUCUUAAUGUUAUUAUGGACAGUCUAUUGUGACUUUAGAAUAGUUUAAAUAAUACGUUAGCGUUUCCCUACAUUAUGCAAUCCAUAUAUACGUUUGACCGGGGAAAAGGGGAUGACAGUUGAUACAAGCAUUCACCAAAAAGGUCAAAUGUAAAAGUUUCCUCUCUAAUCUUUCAAUUAUUUUGUAUGCUGGUACCGGUGGUAUGUGGGUUUAAUGCUACGUUAAUGGGUUCUCAGACUCGAUUCAUAAUCUCUGUUUUCUUUCUCAAAAUUAGCAUGCUUUAUUGAGAACGUGGAUGAGCUAAAAUCAAAGGGUGUUGAUGUGAUCAUCUUCUUUGCCGAUAAGUAUGAUUGUUUCAAUGUCAGCAUAUGGAGAGAGUUGGCAUUUGACCGACCCGGUCGCCCGUUUCAGCUACACUACCCUUCUCACAUUGUCACGUGAGAAAUUAUCAGUUCAGCUGUAGGAAACAGAGGAGUACAAGGAAUAUCAAUUUCCCACAUAUUUUAAUACAAUUGUGAGAGGUUUGAUUCAAAUUGUCGGACGAACAAAAUCUACAUGUAGAUUAAUACGAGAUCAUGGCAGUGAUAAUAGGAAACUUUUUGGAGAAGGAUGUAAUAGUACCAAAAUGAGAAGUAAUGAAAUGGAAAUCAAAGAGAGAAAAUUAUGCCCCCCAAAAAAGGAUGGUUAAGACGUGAACCGGUGCACAUUUAUUCGAGGAUAUGUGCAACAUUACAACGAAGCACUUACAAACUCAAAGUUUAAUGUUAUUUCUCUGCUUGGAUUUGAAAAGGCUUUAGAAAUUGAUCAAAAUUUAUCAAAAGAAUUGCGGAAAAUAGCUCUUUAGUAUUCAUCAAAAUUCAUGUCUUUCUCAUAUAGAAAACUUAAAUCGGUUGUACAAAAUUAAAAUAUAAGUGUAACAAAAUAGCAAAAGCAAACAAAUGAAAAGAAAACUCUCUCAACCUUGAGCCACCCGUAAACCCUAGAUCUCUCACCGUCGCCGGCAAACCCAAUGGCUAAGAAAAAUAAACCCCCUUCCUCUUCCUCUCACCGCUCAGUUUCCGUUGCUUCCUCCAAAAAUUCUCUUUUGCCAUCCGAAACUCGAUCUCUUCUCCGGGGCUAAUUCUGAUGUUGAAGCGUUGGAUAAGCCGCCUUGGGUAAAUAUAGUAAAAAGCACUUCUCAAACGAUGAGGAAGAAAGGAAAGGAAUUUACCUUAACCUCGGGUGUUGAAAUUCCGGAACAAGCACCGAUGGGAGAAAUUCAUCAUAGAUCUGUUUCACGGGAAUGCUCCUAGUCCAGGUGCUCUUCACGCCAUUUGGAGCAACAGAUUACGUGAUAUUACGGUUUUUAAGCUCUCGGAUAAAUCUUUUCUUAUCAAGAUCUCGAACCCAGAAACUCGGAAGAGGGUCCUGGUUUUUCUCCGAAGAUCCCAACUCUCACUAGAGUUCUUGGACAAUUUUCUAGAAGCUCUUCACUUAUGUGGCUAAGAAGCCGAUAGCUGGGUUCGUUGAUGAGAAUGAUGUUUUCCAAUGGAGCUUCUCAAUUAUGGCUUGUAAUUUAGAGGAAAAUAUGAUUGAGAAACAGUCUCACACCACUAAUUCACUAACAACACUACGUAUUGCUCGAAGAUUGUUGUGAUGGAAGUCAUGAGUAUGAUGGUCAAGUGACAUGCCCAAAUACAUGCUCGGAAUCUGAAAAGCUGCUCGAGAAAGUCUGAAGAAAAAAGUCAAGAGACAUAUAACCAAAGGUUUGUAAUUAUACAUUGGAGCUGGACUGGUGUCUUACCCAAUUCUCAGAUCGUCAAGAACGAAGGGGCCAAGUCACUCUUCAAGGGUGCAGGUGCCAACAUAGUGAUGGGAUUGUAAUUUGUACUUUGUGACUACUGACUACAGUAAUUUGAUUUUGUAUUGAUAACCGAGCAAAACCAAAAUACGAUUUUGACUUUAUUUACACAAAACCGGAACCAAA